UACGUAGGGUGCAAGCGUUAAUCGGAAUUACUGGGCGUAAAGCGUGCGCAGGCGGUUGUGCAAGACAGAAGUGAAAUCCCCGGGCUCAACCUGGGAACUGCAUUUGUGACUGCACGGCUAGAGUGUGUCAGAGGGGGGUAGAAUUCCACGUGUAGCAGUGAAAUGCGUAGAUAUGUGGAGGAAUACCGAUGGCGAAGGCAGCCCCCUGGGAUAACACUGACGCUCAUGCACGAAAGCGUGGGGAGCAAACAGG
rnacentral:rRNA from 1 species